rnacentral:ncRNA from 2 species
GAUAUAAUCAAAGCGCCAGGACUUAAAUCAGAUCGGACUAAAAAGGAUUUAAGUUGACGAGGUCAGGGUUAAUCGAAGAUUCGGCGGGUGCCCUGCGGUGUAACUCACCACCGAUAAAGGCUUAACAAAAUCUGCAAGUGAUUGUGGAAACAAAUAGGCUGGGUGAGAAAG